rnacentral:lncRNA from 1 species
UAAAUUUUGUAAGUAUAACUAAAAAUUGUUUAUUUAUAACUCUUCUGACAUUAAUAUACUAAGAAUUAAUUGUAUAUUACUAAAUGGGACUUUUAAUAACAUAUUCAUGGUUAUUAUAACAUAAAUGAACAUUUUACUAUUCUAUGUACUUGAGUGCUAUACAUAUGAAUUCAUUUAUCAUGAAUAGUAACAUUUUCAUUUGACCAGAAAAAUAUGUGACUCAGUAUUUCUUCUAUUUUUCAUGCAAAUAAGUUUACACUUAAAAUACUACUAACAAUUAUCGUUCCACACACAAAAGCGAAAUUAAUUGUAAACUGUUGGGGGCCUUCGGCUUCCGAAGGUCCUCAAAAACAUGAUUUAACAAUGCCUCUGGAGUAUAAUGUGUGGACAGGGAUCUUCGAACAAGAGCCCACGGUAUGAAGAAGCACGGAAAUAAUACGAAGGAUGAAAUGAAACAACGCCGAAGCUACGCGCAAGGGAGCUUCGGCAUGAUAGCGGAAAAGAGAACCGACUUAAAAGGGAAAAGGCCAUUUAGACCUCGAUGGAUCACUAUAGAAUCAUUAGCAAAUGUAAAGGGCAUGGGUGUAAUUUUACAUGGGCUGCGUCCCGUGCCUAUAAAUAGAUGAACAGUGCACCCGUACUGUUCACGCUGACUGGGC